rnacentral:rRNA from 1 species
AGUGAACGCUGGCGGUAGGCCUAACACAUGCAAGUCGAACGGCAGCACAGUAAGAGCUUGCUCUUACGGGUGGCGAGUGGCGGACGGGUGAGGAAUACAUCGGAAUCUACUUUUUCGUGGGGGAUAACGUAGGGAAACUUACGCUAAUACCGCAUACGACCUACGGGUGAAAGCAGGGGAUCUUCGGACCUUGCGCGAUUGAAUGAGCCGAUGUCGGAUUAGCUAGUUGGCGGGGUAAAGGCCCACCAAGGCGACGAUCCGUAGCUGGUCUGAGAGGAUGAUCAGCCACACUGGAACUGAGACACGGUCCAGAGUCCUACGGGAGGCAGCAGUGGGGAAUAUUGGACAAUGGGCGCAAGCAUGAUCCAGCCAUACCGAGUGGGUGAAGAAGGCCUUCGGGUUGUAAAGCCCUUUUGUUGGGAAAGAAAAGCAGCAGGUUAAUACCCCGCUGUUCUGACGGUACCCAAAGAAUAAGCACCGGCUAACUUCGUG